ACACAUGCAGUCGAGCGGUAACAGGUCCAGCUUGCUGGAUGCUGACGAGCGGCGGACGGGUGAGUAACGCAUAGGAAUCUACCCGGUAGUGGGGGAUAACCUGGGGAAACCCAGGCUAAUACCGCAUACGUCCUACGGGAGAAAGGGGGCUUCGGCUCCCGCUAUUGGAUGAGCCUAUGCCGGAUUAGCUGGUUGGUGAGGUAAUGGCUCACCAAGGCGACGAUCCGUAGCUGGUCUGAGAGGAUGAUCAGCCACAUCGGGACUGAGACACGGCCCGAACUCCUACGGGAGGCAGCAGUGGGGAAUAUUGGACAAUGGGGGCAACCCUGAUCCAGCCAUGCCGCGUGUGUGAAGAAGGCCCUCGGGUUGUAAAGCACUUUCAGCGAGGAAGAACGCCUGUCGGUUAAUACCCGGCAGGAAAGACAUCACUCGCAGAAGAAGCACCGGCUAACUCCGUGCCAGCAGCCGCGGUAAUACGGAGGGUGCAAGCGUUAAUCGGAAUUACUGGGCGUAAAGCGCGCGUAGGUGGCUUGAUAAGCCGGUUGUGAAAGCCCCGGGCUCAACCUGGGAACGGCAUCCGGAACUAUUAGGCUAGAGUGCAGGAGAGGAAGGUAGAAUUCCCGGUGUAGCGGUGAAAUGCGUAGAGAUCGGGAGGAAUACCAGUGGCGAAGGCGGCCUUCUGGACUGACACUGACACUGAGGUGCGAAAGCGUGGGUAGCAAACAGGAUUAGAUACCCUGGUAGUCCACGCCGUAAACGAUGUCGACCAGCCGUUGGGUGCCUAGCGCACUUUGUGGCGA
rnacentral:rRNA from 1 species